UACGGGGGGGGCAAGCGUUGUUCGGAAUUACUGGGCGUAAAGGGUGCGUAGGCGGUCCGCUAAGUUGGAUGUGAAAACUCUGGGCUUAACCCAGAGCCUGCAUUCAAAACUGACGGGCUAGAGUUCUGGAGGGGGUAGCGGAAUUCCUGGUGUAGCGGUGAAAUGCGUAGAUAUCAGGAGGAACACCGGUGGCGAAGGCGGCUACCUGGACAGAAACUGACGCUGAGGCGCGAAAGCUAGGGGAGCAAACAGG
rnacentral:rRNA from 1 species